CUUUGCUACAGGAAGAACUCCUGUUGCUUCUCUUGAAAAGAAUGCCUAAUUUUAAACACUUAAUGAGCUUGGUGGGGUGAUCCAAGGUUCUGAAGAUUUCCAUAGACUUAGAGCUAAUGAGAGCCAAGUUGUGGGCUGAUUUGUAUCAGUGGGAAGCUCUGCUUUUUGCUUAUCUAAGGAAUGGAGGAGAAGUGUAUAAUGGCUUUUUGCCUUGAGGCGAUUUUCAGGCUUGCUUUUCGUUAAGUAAAAGUCUUCUCUUUACCCCCAGGGCUUCCUACAGAUCAACUAUAGAUGGAGGCCUCCUUAAAGGUAGAGGAUACAGUCUACAUAAGACCACACUCACUUCUGACGCAAACUGCAAGUUCUAGGAGGUCCAGUUUCAAUAAUUCUUCAGAAGAACUCACAGAGCUCACUGAAAGCUGUAAUAGAACCAUGCGAAAGAAAACAGACCCAGAGAAGUUACAAAAGAAGCAACCUGUUGAAGACCAAAUGGAGAACUGGCAACAGAGCAGAAUUAGAACUAAUGUCUUUUACCAACAAGACUAAUAUGUUUUCCAUGACCUAUAUCUACAAUUACUUCAUGCGUAAUUACAAUUACAAAUGACCUCCAAAACUUGCCUUCAUGUUUGAAUCAGAGGUCAUUGAUUGGCAGUUCUCCAGUGAGCAAGUUGUGUGAGACGUUUGAAGUGCUACCACACAGGUACUAUGAGAAUCACUCAAGAAUAUUUGAAAGGUAGGCAUAUACGGGCUAAGUACACACUGAAGUGUUCAUAAAAUAAAACGUUCAUAAAAUAGUUCA
rnacentral:lncRNA from 13 species